AAUGGUGCGGCGCCAGCUUAAGUUUUCGCCACGAGAGGGACGGCCUCGCAUGUCGUUUGUCUUUUGUCACCUUGCUUGCCCUUUGUCCCUCCUGUCAUUCCGCGUUUUAGAUGAUGUAAUGGCGUUUUGCUCACGUCACAUGGUCAGUGUCGCACUUAUUUGUCCAUCACCUUUGAUUGUGUAGUGUUGUGGUGAUCGCUUCUACUAGAAUAUUGGCCAGACCUAGGUCUGGGGUGAAACGUCUGUCAGGCAGCCUUCGUGCUCGUCUCCACCUGUCUUUCCCUUGCUUUCUGUGUGUACGUUGAAGUGAAUGUCAGUGCUGGUUGUGUGAGUGUGAUCCACACCCGCUCAGAGACUAGGUGGAA